rnacentral:lncRNA from 1 species
AUGAGCGGGGUGCCAUUUGGUGGUCUGUCUGCAGGAAUGGGCGCAGAGAAAAUGAACACAAAAUAUGGCAUUGGCGGGUUACAGUUUGAUGGACAGCAGUUCAAUACUGGGAUUAAUGGAGCAGGAAGUUAUGGUUAUGGUCAAAGCCCACAUGGACCCACUGGCCAAGGCAAAACAUCAGGAAAAUAUGGUGGUGUUGGUGCCGGUGCCAGCGUGGGGGGCAGUCCUGGAAAAUACGGAUUCGGUGGAUUUCACAACAGUCAACAGGUUUUCGGUCUUGGACCUACUGCAAAUGGAAACUAUGGUUAUGGAAGAAUGUCCUAUGAACCUGAACCAGCUGUAAUGGGCCCUGAAGCUCCUGGAAAUUAUGGUCUGACUGCAUCACAAUAUCAGCCCGAACCCCUUGGACUUGGACACAAUGGGCAAUUAAGGAGUAAUUAUGAUGCUGUGCCUUAUGAAAGCCUGCCUGUUGAGACGGACCCGCUACAAAAUCCUUAUGUGAACGGAGACGUACUGACCCCUGUGGGUGUGAGUGUUGAAGGGGAUCACUAUGAGAACAUGGGCUAUAUCAAUGGACAAGUGCAGCCAGAAGAAGCUCCCACUGCCAUCCCCUCCCUGGCCUACCCUGCUCUUCCAGCACAUCUGCCUGCAGAGUCCUCCCUCACUCCUGAUGUGGGGCUGCCAGCAGAGGUUGAGGACUUGCCCGACCCUGCAGGUACUGCCAGCAUCCCCCUGGACUCUGAGCCUGCCACAGAAACACCAGGCCUGCCUCAGUCGCACGAGCAACCCGAGGAUGAUCCGCAGCAGCUGCCGCGACAGAUUCACAUUCAGCAGCACCUCAAACUGCAUUUCCACAACCAAGGCACAAAUGAUGGCAACAAAUAUGAUUUGAAUGGUUUCUUUGGAAACAGUGGAUAUCAAAGUGAGAACGGACAUCAGUGAAAAAGAAUUGGAGUCUCUUUUACAGCCACUCACAUCAACAACAACAACUUUUCUCCACAUGGGUUAAAUGUGCUGACAUAUAUUCUGUAUUUCUGCUCUUUAAGUGUACAGUUUCAUUUCCUGUUACUCAUGUUUGCAAAUCUGAACACAUUUUAACCUUAUGAAUUUUCAGAUUUGUUCCUCUUUUUUAUAUACUUUUUAUUGUCCUGCACUUUCCCUUCAACGUCCAUGCGAGCUACGGUCAUCUUCAGCAUGUUGUCUAACUUUGAGUUGAGUGUCAUAACUAUUGUAUCACGUUAAUAAUCUUGAAAAAGAGAAUUUGCCUUAAUUUAUUAUGCAUGUGAUUUUUUUUUUGUGAUAAGAAUUUGUACUAUUGUACAGUCAUUUCAAUGAAUAAAACCAACAAUGGGACC